rnacentral:rRNA from 1 species
GACGAACGCUGGCGGCGUGCUUAACACAUGCAAGUCGAACGAAGUGGCGGACGGGUGAGUAACGCGUAAGCAACCUGCCCUUCAGAGGGGGACAACAGUUGAAAACGAAUCCUAAUACCGCAUACUGAAUGAGGGGAUGGCGUCGGAUUAGCUAGUUGGAGGGGUCACGGCCCACAAAGGCGAUGAGCAGUAGCCGGGCUGCGCGGAGGAACCGCCAAAUUGGGACUGGGACACGGCCCAGACUCCUACGGGAGGCAGCAGGUGGGAAUCUUCCGCAAUGGACGAAAGUCUGACUGAGCAACGCCGCGUGAGUGAUGACGGCCUUCGGGUUUUAAAGCUCUUUUAAUCGGGACGCGGUACCGGAAUAGAAAGCAACGGCUAACUACGUGCCAGCCGCCGCGGUAAUAC